UUUUUUUUUUCCCGUUUCCUACCUUGGCCAUAACUUUGAAAUACACUCUAGGCACAAAAGAAAACCUGUCUAGUUAUCUGCUGUAAGUUGAGGUUAUUACAAAUUGAGGUGUAGAUUGAAGAAAAGCAUCAGGCAACGAUUAAGGUCAUAUGAAAUACGUAUUCUCCAAGAAAGUGAUGUGAGCCUCCUGUUGAGACCUAGAAUUUAUCUCCUGAAUCCUUAAAAUAGUGUUUAAAACCACAAGGCAUUGUGGAUUGGCAUUGGAUGGCAUUGGAUUUGGAAGAGAAUCUAUCGUCUGUUACUGAAUGGAAACUUUGGAGAUGCAUAAAAUGGCACUUUCUCUUAGCUAAAACAUAUUUGAGUUCUGGUGAUGUAUCCCACUUGAAGGGGUCCAGAUACUGCUGUGUGACCAUUGUUGAAG
ensembl:lncRNA